rnacentral:ncRNA from 1 species
CUCAUAAAUGACGGGAGCUUGUGAUACAGGCUGAGAGUAAGCUAAAAGCUUAGACCGAACCGGACCUAGAUAAUGCUAGCGGCGGGAGAAUUUAUCUACUUUUAC